rnacentral:rRNA from 1 species
UACGUAGGGUGCAGGCGUUAAUCGGAAUUACUGGGCGUAAAGCGUGCGCAGGCGGUUUCUUAAGUCAGAUGUGAAAGCCCCGGGCUUAACCUGGGAACUGCGUUUGAAACUGGGAGACUUGAGUGUGGCAGAGGGGGGUGGGAUUCCACGUGUAGCAGUGAAAUGCGUAGAUAUGUGGAGGAACACCGAUGGCGAAGGCAGCCCCCUGGGUUAACACUGACGCUCAUGCACGAAAGCGUGGGGAGCAAACAGG